CCUACGGGGGGCGGCAGUGAGGAAUAUUGGUCAAUGGACGAGAGUCUGAACCAGCCAAGUAGCGUGAAGGAUGACUGCCCUAUGGGUUGUAAACUUCUUUUAUAUGGGAAUAAAAUGUUCCACGUGUGGGAUUUUGUAUGUACCAUAUGAAUAAGGAUCGGCUAACUCCGUGCCAGCAGCCGCGGUAAUACGGAGGAUCCGAGCGUUAUCCGGAUUUAUUGGGUUUAAAGGGAGCGUAGGUGGAUUGUUAAGUCAGUCGUGAAAGUUUGCGGCUCAACCGUAAAAUUGCAGUUGAAACUGGCAGUCGUGAGUACAGUAGAGGUGGGCGGAAUUCGUGGUGUAGCGGUGAAAUGCUUAGAUAUCACGAAGAGCUCCGAUUGCGAAGGCAGCUCACUGGACUGCAACUGACACUGAGGCUCGAAAGUGUGGGUAUCAAACAGGAUUAGAUACCCCAGUAGUC
rnacentral:rRNA from 1 species